AACGAACGCUGGCGGCAGGCUUAACACAUGCAAGUCGAGCGCCCCGCAAGGGGAGCGGCAGACGGGUGAGUAACGCGUGGGAAUCUACCCAUCUCUACGGAACAACUCCGGGAAACUGGAGCUAAUACCGUAUACGUCCUUCGGGAGAAAGAUUUAUCGGAGAUGGAUGAGCCCGCGUUGGAUCAGCUAGUUGGUGGGGUAAUGGCCUACCAAGGCGACGAUCCAUAGCUGGUCUGAGAGGAUGAUCAGCCACACUGGGACUGAGACACGGCCCAGACUCCUACGGGAGGCAGCAGUGGGGAAUAUUGGACAAUGGGCGAAAGCCUGAUCCAGCCAUGCCGCGUGAGUGAUGAAGGCCCUAGGGUUGUAAAGCUCUUUCACCGGUGAAGAUAAUGACGGUAACCGGAGAAGAAGCCCCGGCUAACUUCGUGCCAGCCGCCGCGGUAACAC
rnacentral:rRNA from 1 species